UUGUUGUGACUAUGAAUUUCCCUUUUUUUUUUGUUCAGUCAUGAAUUACUUUAUUAUCAUAUCUAUAUUCUUUGUUUGUGAGUUCUUUUUGAGGGUUUAAUGUUUCAAGCUGCCUCUGAACUUGCAUUUUGCUUUGAUUGAAGAAAAAUGGCACAGAAAUCCAUAAAUUUUUUCUAUUUCCUUUUAUUAUUGCUUUAAUAGGACAUGUAUAGUCUAGUUGAGUGAAUCAUGUUGUUAGAGUUGUUAGAGUUAGAGUUUUAAGUGAGUGGAGGAGUGGGUUCACUUAUUGUUUUAUGUUUUUUUAAUUUGACUAGUUAUGCUCUAUCAAUUCAAAUCCACACACACACAAAAAAAGAAAGGAGUGAUGAUGUUGGAAUGUUUUCUUGGUUAAUUGAUGUGGUCUGUUUUUAGCUAAACUUGGAUAGUCCCAUAUUUAGAUUAAGCUAACAUUAAUUUUCAGUAUGAGCACUAUUAUUGACAGGUCAUUUUAUCUUUCUGAUAACAUUCUUGAUCACGACAGAUUAUCUCAAUUGAACUUACUUGUAUGUAGAUAUAUUCUUGUCAGACCAAUUUGAACCAAGUUUCUGCAAUAAUAAACCUGAGUGUGAAAAUUACUAAGUAGUUUAGUUGCCAAAUAUAAUCAGAAGACUUUUCUUUAGCUCUAUAUAAGUUUGUUCAAAUUAAUAGGAACUUGAGAUUUCGAGAGUUGUAGUGAACUCUCUUUUGCUUUUUCACCUAAGAUAUGUAUCAUUUGCUUUUGAAUAUUUUUGGUGGUGGGAGUUAUUUCCUUGACCGCGAAAGUGUUGGAAAUUUUGGUUGUUGAUUCAAACUGUGGUGCUGAUCUCUGGCAAUGUGGCUGAGGUACCUUUGAAAUUUGGCUCCAAGUGGCAAUGGAUUUUUGAACGAGAUUUGAUAGAAUUUGUAUUUUAAUAUGUGAUGAUUGCAAUCUUACUUAGUAGUGGUACUUAUACUUGUUGAACAUGCUUUGUUUUUUUAGGCCGAAGGAGCGUUAGUUUCAGAAAAUUUAUGACUAACUGUACUCUACUUGUUCUGAAUGUGGUUUGCUUGAAUGGUGUUACUUUUCUUUGAAUAUAUAUAUAUAUUUAUAUGUAUGAAUCUUUACUGCAAUAGUAGGACCUAUAUAUAUGUAUAUAUAAUCCAAAGCUGUGAUUAUUUCCUGGGUAAUCUAUGUGAUUGUAUAUUCACACAUUUUCUUUGACUGAUGUGUAAUGCAACCAACUUAUCUUGUUGAUUGAUAAAGUACCAUGGUUGAUUGGUGGAGAAGGUGUGUGGACAGAACUGAGUUUGCCAAAUGUAGAAAAAACAAUGGGCUCAGUUUCAGAGAUUACAGAAGAUGAAGUUGAAGAUCGCUUGCAAGAUGCUAUUAAGGAAAAGUUUGUUGUUUUUGGGAUGUAUGUGCUUUUGAUGAUAACUUGUUCAUGUUGCACAGAACUGAUUACUUAUAAAUGUGAUUUUUGUCUUUCUGAUAUGUAAAUUUGGUUUAUUUUUUUAUUGUUGACUGUUGUUGGUGUAAUAAAUUUAUAAAAUCAUUGAAUAAAAAAGUUUAUAAGUUUAUUUCUUUUA